AGCGAACGCUGGCGGCAGGCCUAACACAUGCAAGUCGAACGAACCUUUCGGGGUUAGUGGCGGACGGGUGAGUAACACGUGGGAACGUGCCUUUAGGUUCGGAAUAACUCAGGGAAACUUGUGCUAAUACCGAAUGUGCCCUUCGGGGGAAAGAUUUAUCGCCUUUAGAGCGGCCCGCGUCUGAUUAGCUAGUUGGUUGAGGUAAUGGCUCACCAAGGCGACGAUCAGUAGCUGGUCUGAGAGGAUGAUCAGCCACAUUGGGACUGAGACACGGCCCAAACUCCUACGGGAGGCAGCAGUGGGGAAUCUUGCGCAAUGGGCGAAAGCCUGACGCAGCCAUGCCGCGUGAAUGAUGAAGGUCUUAGGAUUGUAAAAUUCUUUCACCGGGGACGAUGAUGACGGUACCCGGAGAAGAAGCCCCGGCUAACUUCGUG
rnacentral:rRNA from 1 species